rnacentral:rRNA from 1 species
GAUGAAUGCUGGCGGCGUGCCUAACACAUGCAAGUCGAGCGGCAGCGAGGGGUGCUUGCACCCUGUCGGCGAGCGGCGAACGGCUGAGUAACGCGUAGGAAUUUGCCCCAAAGUGAGGAAUAACUGCCCGAAAGGGUAGCUAAUGCCGCAUAUGGUCUUCGGAUUAAAGGAUUUAUCCGCUUUGGGAGAAGCCUGCGUUGGAUUAGGUUGUUGGUAGGGUAAUGGCCUACCAAGCCGACGAUCCAUAGCUGGUCUGAGAGGAUGAUCAGCCAGACUGGAACUGAGACACGGUCCAGACUCCUACGGGAGGCAGCAGUGAGGAAUCUUCCACAAUGGGCGAAAGCCUGAUGGAGCAACGCCGCGUGAAGGAUGAAGGCCUUCGGGUUGUAAACUUCUUUCAUGAGUGAAGAAUAUGACGGUAACUCAUGAAUAAGCACCGGCUAACUACGUG